rnacentral:tRNA from 1 species
AGACAGGUGUCCGAGUGGUUGAAGGAGCACGCCUGGAACGCGUGUAAAGCGCAAGCUUUCGAGGGUUCGAAUCCCUUCCUGUCUGCCA